CCUACGGGUGGCAGCAGUAGGGAAUAUUGCGCAAUGGGCGAAACCCUGAAGCAGCAACGCCGCGUGGAGGAGGAAGGUUUUGGGAUGUUAAACUCUGUUUGUGAGAGAAAAAAUUGACGGUAUCCAACGAAGAAGCACCGGCUAACUCCGUGCCAGCAGCCGCGGUAAUACGGGGGGUGCAAGCGUUACCCGGAAUCAUUGGGCGUAAAGAGCGCGUAGGCGGGAUGGAAAGUCAGGUGUGAAAUGCAAAGGCUCAACUACUGUACGGCACUUGAUACUGUCAAUCUAGAGUAUGGUAGAGGUAAGUGGAAUUCUUGGUGUAGCGGUGAAAUGCUUAGAUAUCAGGAGGAACA
rnacentral:rRNA from 1 species